UUUUUCUUCAAAGCUUUAUCAGUAUUUACAUUAAAUAUUAAAUUAUUACUGAAAGUAAAUGAUUCUGUUUUCACAAAAUGAAGGAUUUUGAAUGUGAAACUUUGCAUAUAUAUUAAAAUUGAUUUUUUUCUAGUUAUUUCUAACUGAAAUAAGCUUGCCAUAAACAUUUUAGAUAAUUUUAUCUGAGUUUGUGAAGGUCAUAGACAGCAACCCCAACUUACUGGACCAAAUGUUUAAAAUAAAACUUUGAAAUUUUUGUAUUGGUAUAAUUUUAAUGAUUGUCCAAUUAACUUUUGUCUGACUGGUACCUUAUAAAUGAUGUUGACUGGACAACAUGUGGUAAAUUGUUUUUUGGUCCAACCAGCAUAUUUUAACAAACUCUGUUAUAUGAUAAAAGGUCAUGAAACCAGGAAAUAAAAUAUGAAUAUGGAUUAUUGUUGUUGGCUGCUGGUCUGAAUUGAUUUUAUCAUAUUUAUAUUCUACAUAAAAUAAACUUAAUCAUGCAAAUAUAUUUGUUUUUAUAGAUAUUCCUCUGCCCAGAAUUCUCCUUUCCAGAAAUUGCCGUUUUAGAACCUGAUGC
rnacentral:lncRNA from 1 species